AGUGGUAGAAUGCUCGCCUGCCACGCGGGCGACCCGGGUUCGAUUCCCGGCCAAUGCA
rfam:Dictyocaulus viviparus strain HannoverDv2000 D_viviparus-1.0_Cont19.20, whole genome shotgun sequence.